AGAGUUUGAUCCUGGCUCAGAACGAACGCUGGCGGCGCGUUUUAAGCAUGCAAGUCGAACGGUAGAACACCUUCGGGUGUUUGAGAGUGGCGAACGGGUGAGUAACACGUAGAUGAUCUGCCCUGGGAUUGGGGAUAGCCUGUGGAAACACAGGGUAAUACCGGAUACGCCUUACGAUUAUAAAGGUCGUGAGGGAAAGGAGCUGAGGCUUCGUCCCGGGAUGAGUCUGCGGCUCAUUAGCUUGUUGGUGGGGUAAAGGCCUACCAAGGCGACGAUGAGUAGCCGGCCUGAGAGGGUGAUCGGCCACACUGGGACUGAGACACGGCCCAGACUCCUACGGGAGGCAGCAGCUAAGAAUCUUCCGCAAUGGGCGAAAGCCUGACGGAGCGACGCCGCGUGGACGAAGAAGGCCGAAAGGUUGUAAAGUCCUUUUCUUGAAGAGGAAUAAAGUGGGGAGGGAAUGCCUCACAGAUGACGUUAAUCAAGGAAUAAGCCCCGGCUAAUUACGUGCCAGCAGCCGCGGUAACACGUAAGGGGCAAGCGUUGUUCGGAUUUAUUGGGCGUAAAGGGCGCGUAGGCGGCACAGAAAGCCUGAUGUGAAAUAUCCCGGCUCAACUGGGAAAACGCAUUGGGAACUGCUGAGCUGGAGUCUAGGAGGGGAAGCUGGAAUUCCUGGUGUAGGGGUGAAAUCUGUAGAUAUCAGGAAGAACACCGGUGGCGAAGGCGAGCUUCUGGCCAUAGACUGACGCUGAGGCGCGAAAGCGUGGGGAGCGAACAGGAUUAGAUACCCUGGUAGUCCACGCUGUAAACGAUGUGCACUAGGUGUUGGAGGGCUACCUUCAGUGCCGAAGCUAACGCGAUAAGUGCACCGCCUGGGGAGUAUGCUCGCAAGGGUGAAACUCAAAGGAAUUGACGGGGGCCCGCACAAGCGGUGGAGCAUGUGGUUUAAUUCGACGAUACGCGAGGAACCUUACCAGGGCUUGACAUAUACCGGAAGACGUGAGAGAUCGCGUUGUCCCUUGUGGACUGGUAUACAGGUGCUGCAUGGCUGUCGUCAGCUCGUGCUGUGAAGUGUUGGGUUAAGUCCCGCAACGAGCGCAACCCCUGUCUUUAGUUACCAGCACGUAAUGGUGGGGACUCUAGAGAGACUGCCGGUGACAAACCGGAGGAAGGUGGGGAUGACGUCAAGUCAUCAUGGCCCUUAUGUCCUGGGCUACACACGUGCUACAAUGGCCGGUACAGAGCGUUGCGAUACCGCGAGGUGGAGCAAAUCGCAGAAAGCCGGUCUCAGUACGGAUUGGAGUCUGAAACCCGACUUCAUGAAGUUGGAAUCGCUAGUAAUCGCGCAUCAGCAUGGCGCGGUGAAUACGUUCCCGGGCCUUGUACACACCGCCCGUCACACCACCCGAGUUGGGGGUACCCGAAGUCGCUAGUCUAACGCAGCAAUGCGGGGACGGUGCCGAAGGUAUGCCUGGUAAGGGGGGUGAAGUCGUAACAAGGUA
rnacentral:rRNA from 1 species